rnacentral:rRNA from 1 species
CCCUUAGAUGUCCUGGGCCGCACGCGCGUUACACUGAUGCAUUCAACGAGCUUAUAACCUUGGCCGAGAGGCCUGGGCAAUCUUGUUAACGUGCAUCGUGAUAGGGAUAGAUUAUUGAAAUUAUUAAUCUUGAACGAGGAAUUCCUAGUAAACGCAGAUCAUCAAUCUGCAUUGAUUACGUCCCUGCCCUUUGUACACACCGCCCGUCGCACCUACCGAUUGGAUGGUCCGGUGAAGCCUCGGGAUUGUGGUUCUUGCCGCUUUAUUGUGGCGUGACCGCGAGAACUUGUCUAAACCUUAUCAUCAAGAGGAAGGUGAAGUCGUAACA